UACAGAGGGGGCAAGCGUUGUUCGGAAUUACUGGGCGUAAAGGGCGCGUAGGCGGCCUGCUAAGUCGAACGUGAAAUCCCUGGGCUCAACCCAGGAACUGCGUCCGAUACUGGUUGGCUUGAAUCCGGGAGAGGGAUGUGGAAUUCCAGGUGUAGCGGUGAAAUGCGUAGAUAUCUGGAGGAACACCGGUGGCGAAGGCGACAUCCUGGACCGGUAUUGACGCUGAGGCGCGAAAGACAGGGGAGCAAACGGG
rnacentral:rRNA from 1 species